GAUGAACGCUGGCGGCGUGCUUAACACAUGCAAGUCGAACGGAGUUAUUAUAGUGAAGUUUUCGGAUGGAGCGGUAAUAACUUAGUGGCGGACGGGUGAGUAACGCGCGGGUAACCUGCCUCACACAGGGGGAUAACAGUUAGAACUGACUGCUAAUCCCGCCGUAAACUGUCACUUCGUAUGAAGAGCCAGCGAAAGAUUUAUCGGUAUGAGAGGGACCCGCGUCUGAUUAGCUAGUUGGUAGGGUAAUGGCCUACCAAGGCGACGAUCAGUAGCCGACUUGAGAGAGUGAUCGGCCACAUUGGGACUGACACACGGCCCAAACUCCUACGGGAGGCAGCAGUGGGGAAUAUUGCACAAUGGGGGAAACCCUGAUGCAGCGACGCCGAGUGAGUGAAGAAGUAUUUCGGUAUGUAAAGCUCUAUCAGCAGGGAAGAUAAUGACGGUACCUGACUAAGAAGCCCCGGCUAACUACGUGCCAGCCGCCGCCGUAA
rnacentral:rRNA from 1 species